rfam:Nicotiana attenuata strain TT scaffold03318, whole genome shotgun sequence.
UUGAGCCGGAUGAAAGGAAACUUUCACGUCCGAUUUUGAAGGGGGGGAGAUCCUAUAGAAUCCUAUCCCAAU